rnacentral:lncRNA from 1 species
CCCACACACAGUUCUGGCUGAAGUGCUCUGUUUCCUGUGUGCCACUGUUCUUGUGCAGGAACACGAUACAGGAGGCUUCUGAGAUCACAGCCUGAGUUGUCCCUGCAGUAGUGCCCUCCUGGCGAUGAACGUCUAAAAAUGGUGUUGAAACUCUGCCAAAGACCCUUCUUCUACUAAGUUCCUUCUGAAAGGGCUACAGGAAGUACCUAAGGGAGUCAAUUGGAUAUCUAAGAUAUUAAAAUGUCAUUGGGUCACUAAGGAAAAACAUCCAAAGAGACUCUUUAAAAUGCCAAGAGAAAGCUAAUGAUACUCUCAUGAAAACAGCGAUUCAUUCAACAGCGUGACAUUUGCUGCCAGGAGAGUGGCUGCAGAGCAGAACAGCGCAGGGGAAGACUCUAGAAGACCCGUGUAGUAGUUCACGUAGGAAGUGGUCUUGUUCAGGCAAGAAUAUUGGCAUUCAUAUUGGCAUUUCACAUGGAAAGGUGAACUAUUUCUCAACCCACUGUUGAUCAGAAAGCACGACUGUGGCUCAUGUAAGCAGAAUGCAUCAGUUUUCCUACCUAAGUCCUCAUCAG